rnacentral:rRNA from 1 species
AAUCAACGCUGGCGGCGUGCCUAACACAUGCAAGUCGAACGAGAAGGUGACUUCGGUCACUGGAUAGUGGCGUCCGGGUGAGUAACACGUAGGUAAUCUACCUUCGGGUGGGGAAUAACGUCUCGAAAGAGACGCUAAUACCGCAUAAUGCAGCGGCACCUAAUGGUGAUUAGUUGUUAAAGCGGGGGAUCUUCGGACCUCGCGCCUGAAGAGGAGCCUGCGGCAGAUUAGCUAGUUGGUGAGGUAAUGGCUCACCAAGGCUUCGAUCUGUAGCUGGUCUGAGAGGACGGCCAGCCACACUGGCACUGACACACGGGCCAGACUCCUACGGGAGCAGCAGUCGGGAAUCUUGCGCAAUGGGCGAAAGCCUGACGCAGCGACGCCGCGUGAGGGAUGACGGCCUGGUU